rnacentral:rRNA from 1 species
UGAACGCUGGCGGCGUGCCUAAUACAUGCAAGUCGAGCGAACAGACGAGGAGCUUGCUCCUCUGACGUUAGCGGCGGACGGGUAAGUAACACGUGGAUAACCUACCUAUAAGACUGGGAUAACUUCGGGAAACCGGAGCUAAUACCGGAUAAUAUAUUGAACCGCAUGGUUCAAUAGUGAAAGACGGUUUUGCUGUCACUUAUAGAUGGAUCCGCGCCGCAUUAGCUAGUUGGUAAGGUAACGGCUUACCAAGGCAACGAUGCGUAGCCGACCUGAGAGGGUGAUCGGCCACACUGGAACUGAGACACGGUCCAGACUCCUACGGGAGGCAGCAGUAGGGAAUCUUCCGCAAUGGGCGAAAGCCUGACGGAGCAACGCCGCGUGAGUGAUGAAGGUCUUCGGAUCGUAAAACUCUGUUAUUAGGGAAGAACAAAUGUGUAAGUAACUAUGCACGUCUUGACGGUACCUAAUCAGAAAGCCACGGCUAACUACGUG